rnacentral:rRNA from 1 species
AGUGAACGCUGGCGGUAGGCCUAACACAUGCAAGUCGAACGGCAGCACAGUAAGAGCUUGCUCUUACGGGUGGCGAGUGGCGGACGGGUGAGGAAUACAUCGGAAUCUACUUUUUCGUGGGGGAUAACGUAGGGAAACUUACGCUAAUACCGCAUACGACCUACGGGUGAAAGCAGGGGAUCUUCGGACCUUGCGCGAUUGAAUGAGCCGAUGUCGGGUUAGCUAGUUGGCGGGGUAAAGGCCCACCAAGGCGACGAUCCGUAGCUGGUCUGAGAGGAUGAUCAGCGACACUGGAACUGAGACACGGUCCAGACUCCUACGGGAGGCAGCAGUGGGGAAUAUUGGACAAAGGGCGCAAGCCUGAUCCAGCCAUACCGCGUGGGUGAAGAAGGCCUUCGGGUUGUAAAGCCCUUUUGUUGGGAAAGAAAAGCAGCAGGUUAAUACCCCGCUGUUCUGACGGUACCCAAAGAAUAAGCACCGGCUAACUUCGUG